rnacentral:lncRNA from 1 species
UUUAAAACUGACAGGAUAUGUUUGCCAGUCAAAAAGUAAAUUUGGUUCAUAGCUGGGAGCCAGGUUUCUUAUCCAUAUUCACAUGCCUUACUUCAAUUAUUUGGAUGGUUUCAGGCAUGGGGACAUUUUUUCCUUUAAAAGAUACCGUUAAUUAAUCCCAGUUGAGUCUAAUCGUGACAGAUUAGUCCAGUUCAUAACAAGCAACUUUCUAUUUUUUUUCAAUCAAGAUUUAAUUUUGAUUGAAUCUGAAGCCAGCCAGAAUUACUUGAAUUAGAUUAAAAAAAAAUCAAAGUUGGGCCACGAUUGAAAAAUUAGAUUAAAAAAAAAACUGAAGCCAGCCAGAAACGAAUGUUUUAAGGACUGGGGCUGGCCCAAAGCAUUAUUUGAAUGUAAGACAUGUCAAGAGAUGAUUUACAAACCCAAAUCUCACAAUUGUUUUUUAUUAAAAUUUUAAAGCAUAUCGAUUUUGUAUUUAUUAUAUUAUUUUUAUAUCAUCUCAUCAUGUUCGAUAACCAGCUAUAAAAGAUUGUACCAUAUUGUAAGUUUCUCAAAAACUAAAAAACAAAACAAGCAAAAUCCUAGCCAAGUUCUUUAGUACCAACUCUUGACAAUUUAGGAAUCAUUUCUGCCGUCUGAAAUUAUCUGUUGUCUAAGUAAUCAAAAGAACAAGACACACCUGAAUUAUUGAGUGCAAAGGCAAAUGAUGAUAAACACUGAAGUAAGAUUGAGCGAAGAGAAUAAUAAGAAGGAGAAAAGGAUUUGAGGGAAAAAGAAUUGCAUAAAAAAUUUGACAGAGUUUCUAUUCAUAUUUGACAUUGCAGUUUCUCUAUUACCCACACUUCUCGGCUCAUUAGUCUUUACUACAGUGCCACCAUUGCAUCUUCAUCUUCUUCAGUAUUUUGCCAUGGAAUCUACCAUAUGGUGAAGCAAUCGUGAUGCUCAAAAAUCUUCUAUCUUGAAAUUUGAAGUAUUCAAAAAUUCAAAUUCUAAUAUCUGCAACCACUGUUCUAGUCUCAUAAUACUAUCUCUUUUAUACUAAAAAAAAAUACUUCUCCCUUGAAUCAGAACAAAAUCAGAAACUAUUUAAAAAAAAACCUUGCGUUUAUUGAUCUAAUCAAGGAUAUGGUCCGAAAUAAAGCAUUAUCUCGUGAUUUGGUCCAGAUAAGCAGCCCGAUUAGUGGAAAAAGGGCUUUGCCUUUAUCUAAUACAAAAUCCUUAAUCAAUUUUUUUGGUUCACAGAAAGGCAAAGCCCUGUUACAUGGGAGAUGAUUAGCUUGAUUCGAACCCCCAAGCUUUCAUGUCUUCCUUAAAAUUUCAUUGCUGCUAGAUCCAAAAUUGGAAGACAAAAUCUUUUUACACACCCUAUAGUGUAUCAGCAUUAAGGAUGACAACUCAACCCAUGUCCAACAGAUUUUAACUUAA